rnacentral:rRNA from 1 species
AUGUCAUAUAUCACGAAUUUACAUGGCUGCCUUGUCGGCAUAAUUCAUAUGUUUUGUUCUGUCAAAUUUGUUGUCAAGUUUUGGAACACGAAUCGGUGGCGAACCAGCAUCAGUAGUCCUUCAUGUCUUCAAACCUUAGAUGCCAUUGCCCAGGUCUAUUUGUAUAGAGAUCAAAGACUAAGAAUAGUAUCACCCUGUUUUCCUACUUCAUCAGUAUUGCACCUAUUUAAUCAUUACAUUGGGGAUGCCUUAUAUGUUGUAUUACAUGUGUUGUUUUCUUCUUCAUCUAGAGACUACUUCUAUUCUGCUUAG